AUGUUUGAAGAUAACAGUGAGCUAGUAUGUUUCACCAAUGGGAGCAGCUAUGUAAAAGAUGGGCAAAGGAAAGCUGGAGCCGCCACGGUAGAAGAGUACAGUUGUGAAUAUGGCUCCGCGAAGUUUUAUGCACUGUGUGGCUUUGGUGGGGUCUUAAGUUGUGGUCUGACACACACUGCUGUUGUUCCUCUGGAUUUAGUGAAAUGCCGUAUGCAGGUGGACCCACAAAAGUACAAGGGCAUUUUUAAUGGAUUUUCAGUUACACUCAAAGAGGAUGGUUUCUGUGGUUUGGCCAAAGGAUGGGCCCCGACCUUCAUUGGCUACUCCCUGCAGGGGCUCUGCAAGUUUGGCUUUAAGUCUUCAAGGCUUUGUACAGUAACAUGCUUGGAGAGGAGAAUGCCUAUCUGUGGCGCACAUCACUGUAUUUGGCUGCCUCUGCCAGUGCUGAAUUCUUUGCUGACAUUGCUCUGGCUCCUACGGAAGCUGCUAAGGUUCAAAUUCAAACCCAACCAGGUUAUGCUAACACUCCGAGAGAUGCAGCUCCCAAAAUGUAUAAGGAAGAAGGCUUAAAGGUGUUCUACAAGGGGGUUGCUCCUCUUUGGAUGAGACAGAUACCAUACACCAUGAUGAAGUUUGCCUGCUUUGAACGUACUGUUGAAGCAUUGUACAAGUUUGUGGUUCCCAAGCCCCGAAGUGAAUGUUCAAAGCCAGAGCAGCUGGUUGUCACAUUUGUGGCAGGUUACAUAGCUGGAGUCUUCUGUGCCAUUGUUUCCCACCCUGCCGAUUCCGUGGUGUCUGUGUUGAAUAAAGAGAAGGAUAGCAGUGCCUCUCAGGUCCUCAAGAGACUUGGAUUUAAAGGUGUAUGGAAGGGACUCUUUGCCCGCAUCAUCAUGAUCAGCACUCUGACUGCACUACAGUGGUUUAAGGUCUACUUCAGGCUCCCUCGCCCUCCUCCCCUUGAGAUGCCAGAGUCUCUGAAGAAGAAGCUUGGGUACACUCAGUAGAUAAAUGAAAGCAAAUAUGGACUGAAUCUGCAUGUUGAUCAGUGUUUGAGGAA